GACGAACGCUGGCGGCGUGCCUAAUACAUGCAAGUAGAACGCUGAAGGAGGAGCUUGCUCUUCUGGAUGAGUUGCGAACGGGUGAGUAACGCGUAGGUAACCUGCCUGGUAGCGGGGGAUAACUAUUGGAAACGAUAGCUAAUACCGCAUAAUAGUAGAUGUUGCAUGACAUUUGCUUAAAAGGUGCAAUUGCAUCACUACCAGAUGGACCUGCGUUGUAUUAGCUAGUUGGUGGGGUAACGGCUCACCAAGGCGACGAUACAUAGCCGACCUGAGAGGGUGAUCGGCCACACUGGGACUGAGACACGGCCCAGACUCCUACGGGAGGCAGCAGUAGGGAACCUUCGGCAAUGGACGGAAGUCUGACCGAGCAACGCCGCGUGAGUGAAGAAGGUUUUCGGAUCGUAAAGCUCUGUUGUAAGAGAAGAACGAGUGUGAGAGUGGAAAGUUCACACUGUGACGUAUCUACCAGAAAGGACGCA
rnacentral:rRNA from 1 species